AAAGAAGGAAGACGGCUCACUCGCUCUACCUCCAUUCCAUAUUCUGUUUUUGGCUUCUGUUGGAGCUCAGAGGUGAGACCUGCCCACACUGACUCAAGCAUUUUAGAAUGCCUCGUUCUCAUUUUCCUGAAAUCUGAUUUCCUGAAUCGAUCAGGUUUUCCGAUGAUGAAUUUCCCCUUUUUUUUUGUUUUCCUUUAAGCAGAUUUUUCAUUGGCAAAUCUGAAAUAUGGUCUCAAUAUUUAGUGCUUCCAUGACUUCUCCGUCCAAAAUCUCAUCAUAAACUUGACAUAACAUAAAUUUUCCAGAUAAAAGGUGAUUCCAUUAAUAGACGGUAUUGAUAAAACUGCAUGAUUGAGUUGGGUCCUUAAUUUGUCAAUAUCACACAUGGGAAUGCAACCAGUUGUAGGAUUCUCUGAGUUGAGCUUUUUAUUGAUGCAAUUUCAAGAACCAGAGAUAUAGUGAUAUUCCCAGCACGAUUAUUGGGUGAGGGGUCCUUAGUCCCAACUCUGGCAGAUUCCCUGCAAUUAACCUUAAAUAUUUACCACCAGAAGUCGAUUGUAGUUGUCAAAGACGAAGAAUAAAUUUGCCGACACAGCACCAGGCAAUAGGAUUGGCAUAACUUACCUGUGCCUACGGUUACAUCAUGCUCCAAUUAUUCAUCAACAGCGACGUAUGAUGUUGUCAUUUUUUUACCUUGGCAUUUCAAAAAUUCUUAGUAGGGGAAAGGAAAGCCAAGAUUGAAAUACUAAACGCUUUGCAUUACGAGAUAGGAUCCGAUAUUGCAUCAGUAUUAUUCAUAAUGAUUUCGUUCUCCUGAAAAAUUUUCUCGGAGCACCAACUUCAUAGUGGAGAAAUGACGGCUACUACACAAAGAGGGCAGCUCUUUAAUUGUUGGACUUUAGUAUUAUUGAAUUAAUAGCCUUGUAAGAACAGUCAUGUACAUAUACAGAUCUUUUGUUCAAUAAAAAUCAUCCAUUGCACUUUUUGUCGAAAUAA